rnacentral:rRNA from 1 species
UACGGGGGGGGCAAGCGUUAUUCGGAAUUACUGGGCGUAAAGGGCUUGUAGGCGGCCAACUAAGUCGGAUGUGAAAUCCCUCAGCUUAACUGGGGAACUGCGUCCGAUACUGGAUGGCUUGGAUUUGGGAGAGGGAUGCGGAAUUCCAGGUGUAGCGGUGAAAUGCGUAGAUAUCUGGAGGAACACCGGUGGCGAAGGCGGCAUCCUGGACCAAUAUUGACGCUGAGGAGCGAAAGCUAGUGGAGCAAACGGG